rnacentral:rRNA from 1 species
UACAGAGGUCUCAAGCGUUGUUCGGAUUCAUUGGGCGUAAAGGGUGCGUAGGUGGCGGGGUAAGUCAGGUGUGAAAUCUCGGGGCUCAACCCCGAAACUGCACUUGAUACUGCCUUGCUGGAGUACUGGAGAGGAGAUUGGAAUUUACGGUGUAGCAGUGAAAUGCGUAGAUAUCGUAAGGAAGACCAGUGGCGAAGGCGAAGCGCUGGACAGUUACUGACACUGAGGCACGAAGGCCAGGGGAGCAAACGGG